rnacentral:other from 1 species
ACGGGGCGGCGCGGUUUGUCAGGCCGCACUUUACCCCUGGGGCUAUAAUCUCUCUGAGGGAGCUGCCUCUUUCGGGACCGUGGUCUCGGAAUCGCGGCGCCCACCUGCUAUGCAGGCCACAGAGGGUAUGCAAAUGCCAACGGCCGAGGCGGCUCCGUC